AUACUAAGACCUUAGCUGUAUGAUUUAACUAAAUAUUCUUGUGAUUAAACAUAGUAAUUCUUCCUUUACAGAAUAAGGCUAGAAAGGAAUAGGAGAGAAGACUGAACUCCUUCAAGAGGUCAACAGGGAAAUCUUAACCGGAACCACAUGUUUUGUGCAUUCAUACCAGAAGCCACUCUCCCCUUGUUGGUGGGUGCUUUGAAUUUCGCAGACCUGGUGAGGGGGGAAGAUGAUGCUGAUUCCCUUAUGUAAUGCUACUUUGUGCCUGUCAGAGAAAUAUUACCUAGAGCCAAACGAAACUGCAAGUUAAGCUCAAACUGAAUUAAGAUGGAGAUACACAGUGUUACAGAGAUGUAUGGGCAGCAAUUCAUUGCAGGAUCAAAUCCCUCACUGUGUGCUAACACUAAAGAUGCAAUAAGAGGCAGAAACUCUCACUGCCAAUCAAGCUGGUCCACUGAGUCACUCAAACUUUGGAAGAGCAGCUCCUUAUCAGAGCUGCAUGGUGCCAACACACAGUCCUGAUUUGAAUGGUCACUUUUAAUUUCAGUAAGUAUGCUCUUUUACUG
rnacentral:lncRNA from 1 species